rnacentral:rRNA from 1 species
AUGCGGGACAGAGCGGAGGUGGCUAGGAGGCGCCACAACGACCACGACCGCGACCAGGACAGGGAUCGCACCACAAUCGGGACAAACGGGACGACGACCGCGGCCGUGGCUGCCGUGGACGCGACGAGCGACCUUCCUCUUGGAAGGAGCACUUUUUCCGGAGCAGGUCUCGCUCCCCAAAGCACCGUGAUGAUGAGGGGCGCCGAGACGGCAGAGAAGACCGCCGAGACGACCGUGGCCGCGAUGGUCGCCGCCGCCAUGAUGCCCCUGACGCACGCUCCAUCGACAGCAAGCUGGUCCAUCGCCUCCCGAAAUGUGCUGUCAUCCCAGCCUCUGGUACCGUCGCUGCCCUGCUGA